UCCCGGUUAACCCGGGCAGUCUCACUAGAGUUCCCACCUUAACGUGUUGGCAACUAGUAAUAAGGGUUGCGCUCGUUGCUGGACUUAACCAAACACCUCACGGCACGAGCUGACGACAGCCAUGCAGCACCUGUGCACAUGUCCCGAAGGAAAGAUCUAUUUCUAGAUCGGUCAUGUGCAUGUCAAACCUGGGUAAGGUUCUUCGCGUUGCAUCGAAUUAAACCACAUGCUCCACUGCUUGUGCGGGUCCCCGUCAAUUCUUUUGAGUUUCACCCUUGCGAGCGUACUCCCCAGGCGGUAUACUUAUCGCGUUAGCUUCGGCACAACUAGGGUUGAGUCCAGUUACACCAAGUAUACAUAGUUUAAGGCAAGGACUAC
rnacentral:misc_RNA from 1 species